AACUGUAGAGGGCUGGGUCGGCCUCGUACAGUUCAAGAAUUAGUUUGCAUCAAUAAGUCUUACCGACCCAACAUCAUUUUCCUUUCAGAAACUAGAAAGAAUAAAGAUUAUGUUGAGAGCUUGCGGUAUCGUUUGGGUAUGAAAAAUGUAUUUACUGUUUUGGGUAAAGGCAAAGGUGGUGGUUUAGCGAUAUUAUGGGAUGAGUGUUUCUCUGUGGAAUUAAAUAAAUUCGGUGACCAUUUUAUUGAUCUGUACAUAUGUAAGAGUGAUGGAUCAAGAUGGAGAUGCACAUGUGUGUAUGGGGAACCAAAGGCGAGCCAAAGGUACGUCACGUGGGAGCUUUUGAGAAGAGUUAAAUGUCUUGGUUCUGGCCCCUGGUUCAUGGUCGAUGACUUUAAUGAAGCUGUGUGGCAAUAUGAACAUUUUUCUCGUAAUAAAAGAUCGCCUAAACUCAUGGAAAAAUUUCGGGAGGUUCUCUCUGAUUGCAAUUUAUUUGAUCUGGGUUUUCAUGAAGUACCUUGGAUGUAUGAUAAUUUUGGGGAACGUAGUAUUUCAAAAAAAUUCCUAUGA
rnacentral:rRNA from 1 species